GAUGAACGCUGGCGGCGUGCCUAAUAAAUGAAAGUCGAGCGAAGCGGGGACGGGUGAGUAACCCGUGGAUAACCUCCUAUAAGACUGGGAUAACUUCGGGAACCCGGGGCUAUACAGGAAACUUAUAGAUGGAUCCGCGCUGCAUUAGCUAGUUGGUAAGGUAACGGCUUACAAAGGCAACGGUGCAUAGCCGACCUGAGAGGGGGAUCGCCCACACUGAAACUGGGACACGGUCCAGACUCUGACGGGGGGCAGCAGUAGGGAAUCGUCCGCAAUGGGCGAAAGCCUGACGGAGAAAGGCCGCGUGGGUGAUGAGGUCUUCGGAUCGUAAAACUCUGUUAUUAGGGAAGCGGUACCUAAUCAGAAAGCCACGGCUAACUACGUGCCAGCAGCCGCGGUAAUUC
rnacentral:rRNA from 1 species